UCGUAACAAGGUUUCCGUAGGUGAACCUGCGGAAGGAUCAUUACCGAGUGAGGGCCCUCUAGGUCCAACCUCCCACCCGUGUUUAUCGUACCUUGUUGCUUCGGCGGGCCCGCCGCAAGGCCGCCGGGGGGCGUCUGUCCCCGGGCCCGCGCCCGCCGAAGACACCUGUGAACGCUGUAUGAAGAUUGCAGUCUGAGCGAAAAGCUAAAUCGUUAAAACUUUCAACAACGGAUCUCUUGGUUCCGGCAUCGAUGAAGAACGCAGCGAAAUGCGAUAAGUAAUGUGAAUUGCAGAAUUCAGUGAAUCAUCGAGUCUUUGAACGCACAUUGCGCCCCCUGGUAUUCCGGGGGGCAUGCCUGUCCGAGCGUCAUUGCUGCCCUCAAGCACGGCUUGUGUGUUGGGCCCUCGUCCCCCGGGACGGGCCCGAAAGGCAGCGGCGGCACCGCGUCCGGUCCUCGAGCGUAUGGGGCUUCGUCACCCGCUCUGUAGGCCCGGCCGGCGCUGGCCGACACCAUCAAUCUUUUUUCCAGGUUGACCUCGGAUCAGGUAGGGAUACCCGCUGAACUUAAGCAUAUCAAUA
rnacentral:misc_RNA from 1 species